UACGUACGAGGCGAGCGUUAUCCGGAAUUACUGGGCGUAAAGCGCGCGCAGGCGGACCAUUAAGUUUGGCGUGAAAUCUCCCGGCUUAACUGGGAGGGUGCGCCGAAGACUGCGAUGCUUGAGGAUCGGAGAGGAAAGUGGAAUUUCUGGUGUAGCGGUGAAAUGCGUAGAUAUCAGAAGGAACACCUGUGGUGUAGACGGCUUUCUGGACGAUUCCUGACGCUGAGACACGAAAGCGUGGGUAGCAAACAGG
rnacentral:rRNA from 1 species